CCCAGCACCGGCCCUGGGGAGAGGUCCGGAUCUGGGGGCCCUUGGACCGCCUUGGUGGUCCAGGGACUUCCAUCUCCCCUAAUGCUGGAAUAUUUAUUAUGAUUAUUGUGUCCCUUCUCCACUGUUAUUAUAUUAGAGUGGAGAGGCCACUUCUAGAUUAGAAAGAACCACUGCUAGACUAGGAAGAAGACCCAACCACACCUGGAGACUCUAAAGAUUUAACUGAAUGACUGGAUCAGAGCCUACAGAAUCUAUAGAAUUCUCUAGAAAAAAGAACUUUACCACUCCCUCAAUAAAAGGAGUCUUAUUAACAAUAGUCAUCAUCAUCCUUUAUCAUCUAUGUUGGUUCAUGAAUUAGAAGAAGGGAAUGGGAGAUACAUGGGCCCUGACCAGGGCCCAGGCCAGCGAGGAGCCUGAAACCGAGAGACACGUUACAUUUCCCACUCUUUAUCUGCCAAUCAGCCAGAUUCAAAAUAAUUCAGGAGAGAAUUCUGUCAUUUCAGAGAAUAGUGAAGCCACAAAAUAGAAGAGGGCUAGAUUGCUGAAUCAUCAUAUGGAAGACUGCCUGCCAAAUACUACAUUGAACUGUCAAAGGAAGGAGAAAUAAAACCAGUGAAAUCUUGGCGUUUAUUGUAAUGUUUGACAUACCUUGACCAUACCUUGACAUAACUUGGCCUCUUUUUCUUUAAAUUUAUCCUGAGCUACCCUGUUAAAUGAAUUUGUGCUACCAAUAGUUUAAUGUUCUAUGUCUCAGGAGUAACCUAUGUUAAAAUAACAAAUGACACCAAAAUCUCAAUAUAACAAAAAUUUAUUUCUUAUGAUAUGCCAUCCAGAAGACUAUACUCAUAGCUAAUCAGGGAACUAGGCUGAUGAAAUUUCACCAUGACUUAUGCUUCCCUGAUCAUCAUAGCGGUGGGAAAAAAGCAUGAUUAUACAUUGUAAGGUUUUUGAGCAUACUGGUAUGUAAUACAUCAUUUCUACUUACAUCUCAAAGACCUUAAGUCAAAUGCCCAUGCCUGUCUUUAAAAAGAGUAAAGAAGCCCAGCCAAUAGGGCUCAGUGGUUGAGCAUCGACCUAAGAACCAAGAGGUCAUAGUUCAAUUCCUGGUCAGGGCACAUGUAGGAGCAUGCAGGAGGCAGCCCAUGGAUGAUGUUUCUCAUCGAUAUUUCUAUCUCUCCCUCUCCCUCGCUUUCUAAAAAUAAAUGAUAACUUAAAAAAAAGAGCAAAGAAGUAUAAUCCCAUGUGCCAAAAGUGAGAAUCCAGACAUAUAAUAUUUUGGAAAAUGACAGCCCUGAAUACCACAUGGUUAUAGAUAUUGAUUUUUGGAAGGACAGUGUUUCAUACAGAAAUUUAAAAUAUGUUGUACAGAAUAAGUAGGCAGCAAAACAAAACAAAAAACCUUUAGUAUAGGCUGGUUAGCUGGAGAGCUCUAGUGCAACUUGGUAAAAUAUUUACCAAGUAUACAUAUAAACUACCCUCUGAAGUAAAAGGUAGACCAUGAGCCUAAUGAAACUCUUAACUAUAUGGAAAAUAGAUAGAGGGAGGGGAAUAGUGUAAAGUGAAAAUAAUUUUGCAGAAAUCAGAUUAAAAGUUUUAACUUUGCUAUCCAAGCCUAUUGCUUCAGAUAGCGUCAAGAGGGGAAUUUGUGGGAGGAAGCAAAUAAAUAAAUAAUUAUUGAUAAUUACAUAUAGGAAAGAUCUAGAAUGUGGAAUUUAGAAUAUGAAAUUAAAAGCAAAUAUAUCACAAAGUCUACUAAGUUUUUAAGGGAAUUGUAUUGUUCAUGAAACCAUGUGCCUGGACUGAAAAAGACUGGAGCAAUCAUCAAGCUCCCAGAGUGUCCCCAGCAGGAAGCCUAGAUAGCUUAUCUUUAUGGUUUACAGGUUGUACCCUGAGGACCCACAUUUGAACCUGAUGGAAAGGCCUGUGCAUCACAUGAAGCUGUGAUUCACUGACUUCACAACCCUAUUCCUGACAAGUACACUAGACCCGUGAUAGGAAGAACUUUAAUUGGUUUCAGUGAAAAUGUUUCCUGAAGGUGUAAAUAAGUUUUCAAAUUUCCUAUUUGUUAGUUAUCUUUAAGAAUUAAAGGGGCCAAGUCAGUACUUGAAAAGUGGGAAUUAUAACUUGGCCUCUUUUCCUUUAAAUUUAUCCUGAGCUACUCUGUUAAAUGAAUUUGUACUACCAAUUUUUUAAUGUUCUAUUCUCAUAGCAACAGGCUGUGAUGUCAGAGGGUUAUUUAUCACAAAAUUCAU